UUCAUGCUGUCUGUCAAAAGAGCUCCAUGGGCUGCAAUGGGACAGAAGAGGUGACAUAAUUCUCAGAGCAAAGAGGGCGGCUCGGCUGAACUCCGCGGAGGCGUUCUUUUAGCCUAAACAAAUACGACCGCGAAACUGUAAAUAAACCAAGACCGUUCCAGGAGAUGCUAUAGACUUUUGCUGAUGAAUACACAAAAGCAGACCAUCAGACAGACACGCUAGCCUUAAAAAAAUACACUGCGACUUAAAGCUUUUGGAGCUCAGACUGAUUCUGGGAGCAACGCUGUAACUACAGAGGCGCUGUGGCAAUUGUGAUCUUCCGAAGGGCAUCAAAUCACACCUCGAGUAGCACAUUGAAAGCAAACACGGGCUCGUGCCCGCACAGCUCGUGUUCGGGGCUGGCGUAUCAGGACCAGAUGAAGUGGAGCGGAGGCGCCCAGGUCCACCAGGUGGAGAAGGCACAGAGCUGUGGCUGGUUGUGCCGAGGUGAGAGCCGGGAGCCCGUGAGACUGGUGUCAGGAGCACACAGAGGGAACCCUGCAGGUACUGCCCGCGCCCGAACAGGUCACGGCCACAGUCCCGCGGUGAGGAGUGUGAGGUCUCGGUGUCUGCUCGUGGACCCCAGGCCUAAAUCGUCCUAGCUAGGGUUCAUCCCUCAAGUGUGUGUGUUUUGGUUUCUGGGAAUUUUGUUCCACGUUGUGGCCGGUCCCGGUCACAGGCCCUGGUUUAUUUCUCAAGGACAUCUGCAGAGGGGACUGGGAUGAAGAGGACGCCUUUAAAACGGCUUUAAUCUCUUUUAUCAGCCAGCAGGAGUUCUUCCCAUCAAUUGGGGGGCUUCUAUGGAACCUCCAAAUUCUUCACCCAACAAGGAGAAUAGGGUUCAGAGAAAGGCUGUGCAGACGCCUUCAAUUUUUUAAGAAUGUAAAUUUGAUAAACUGUCAUGAAAGCCAGCACCUCGUGUUGGUUACAGUGAAGCUCUCCCCUGCUCUGACAGAGAAAGGCUGUGCAGACACUGUGGGGACAUAAAGAUGUCACACACCAGAAGAAAACUGUUCUGUUAAGAUUU